rnacentral:rRNA from 1 species
AACGAACGCUGGCGGCAGGCUUAACACAUGCAAGUCGAACGGGUGUAGCAAUACAUCAGUGGCAGACGGGUGAGUAACACGUGGGAACCUUCCUAGAGGUACGGAACAACGCAGGGAAACUUGCGCUAAUACCGUAUACGCUCUUGCGAGGAAAGAUUUAUCGCCUUUAGACGGGCCCGCGUAGGAUUAGGUAGUUGGUGGGGUAACGGCUCACCAAGCCUACGAUCCUUAGCUGAUCUGAGAGGAUGAUCAGCCACACUGGAACUGAGACACGGUCCAGACUCCUACGGGAGGCAGCAGUGGGGAAUCUUGGACAAUGGGCGCAAGCCUGAUCCAGCCAUGCCGCGUGAGUGAAGAAGGCCUUCGGGUUGUAAAGCUCUUUGUC